rnacentral:rRNA from 1 species
GACGAACGCUGGCGGCGUGCUUAACACAUGCAAGUCGAACGGAAAGGCCCCUUUGGGGGUACUCGAGUGGCGAACGGGUGAGUAACACGUGAGUAACCUGCCCUUGACUUCGGGAUAACUUCAGGAAACUGGGGCUAAUACCGGAUAGGAAUCCUUGCUGCAUGGUGGGGGUUGGAAAGCUUCGGCGGUUUUGGAUGGACUCGCGGCUUAUCAGCUUGUUGGUGGGGUAGUGGCUUACCAAGGCUUUGACGGGUAGCCGGCCUGAGAGGGCGACCGGCCACAUUGGGGCUGGGGUACGGCCCAGGCUCCUACGGGGGGCAACCGUGGGGAAUAUUGCACAAUGGGCGGGAGGCUGAUGCAGCAACGCCGCGUGCGGGAUGACGGCCUUCCGGUUGUAAACCGCUUUCAGCAGGGGCGGAGCUUGUGGUGACGGUACCUGCAGAAGAAGCACCGGCUAACUACGUG